UCACUUCCCGCGAAGGAAUGGUGCAAGUGCCUCAGGUCAAACACAUGCACGAGUCUUUGCAAGAUUAGGUCUUGUAGUUUGCCUUCCUGAAUGUGUAAAUAUAGCUGAGGGAAACCUUCGCUCUGGUGGCAACUCAGAAUAGUUUCCAGCCUAUCUUAGAAAGCAAUCAAAUAAAAACCAGAAAGAAUCAGACACACAAAACCCUCGGAUAGAUGUAAACGAUCUUUCUUAAGAAGGGAUGUAUUUAAAACAAAUCAGGGAGCAAUACCAGGAGCCCUAUGGAGAUGCUGGACAUCUGAAAUCUCACACUGGAAGGUGUUACAUGAAUGAGGGGAAUUCAGGUGGGUCAGCGGGUAAAGACCAGCUGUGGGUGAUGCUGUUUUAAAAAGGGAGGGAGAAUAAAUGUUUUACACUGGGCUGUAGGGCCAGGGCUGUACUGUGCCUGGCAGGGAGCUGCUUAUUGCUUGCUGCUGGUUAUGCGAUCCCCAUCCAGAACAGCUCACAUCUGCAAGCAGGGCACGUGGGCUGAGGAGCGCUCAGAACCGGCAUCUGCAAGAGCUCAUCUCCCUCUGCCCUGCACCGCUGAUAUCAGAGGCAUGGAGGGGCUCGGGGAAGAGGACUGCAAGCAAGCUAGCGGCAAGCCGUGCCUUCUGCAUGCCCCUGAGUAUUGAGGCUGAAGGAGCUGGAUCUCCAAACAGAGGCACGGUUCCCAGUUGGGCUGGCAUUCCCAUUUCUCAGGGGUGUUGCUGGGAUGUUAAUGGGGAUGCAGGAGAGGCUGGCUGGGAGAAACCCAGGUGGCUGCUUUUCCCAGGCUCCCCGGCAGUGAUGUAUCUGCCCAGUUCCAGCCCUUCUGCUCAGUGUCCCAUCCCACUGUGGUGGCAUGCCAGCAAGACGAUCGCCAGCAAAGUGUUAUCGCCAACAGGAGAUGGUUUUCCCUGCUUGAGCUGCCCAAAUGCUUGGCAUCACCCGGUUCAGGCAGCCCGAGCACCCAGUGGUGAUCACCUACGGAGGGGGCCAGUUGUUUUCACCCAGAGAUACAUACACUGAUGGGAGUCAGCAGGAACCAACAUUUAAAUCACAGCCUGAACCUCAAAGGUAGGGCUGAGGAUGCCUGCAUGAGGGAGCUGAACCGCAGGAGAAGGGGAUGCAAGGUACUGCUGUUAUUGCUAGAAACAUGGUGUGGCUGCCAGGGCUGCGGCUUUGAUCUUGGACUUAGGGACCAGGAUCUCUUUUCUGAGCCACCCUUCCUUGCUGUGGUGGCAUGGGAUGAUGUGAUGAGGAGAGGAUGGCUGGCUUUGCAGGGCAGUAAGAGUGGGCAGGGGAUGCCCCAUGGACAUGCUGAGUCCUUUCUUCCCGUCCAUGCUGAGAGCAAGGGUUCCCCUCCACCCUGUGCCCGCCUCACCUCCAACACACUACAGUUUUGAGGUGAUUUUUCCCCUCUAAUACACAACCCAGUGCCUGCCUGCACCUCCUAGAUGUCUUACUGCCAGUCCAUAGCUCUGCUCUGGGGCAUCCCCCCUGUGGUUUUUUUUUUUUUUUUUCCAGGCCUUGUUCUCAAAGAUAAUCCCUGUUUUUUCCAAAGCAGGCUGUUUCCUCUAAUAGCAAGCACCCAGCAGCCAGCAGCUGAAGGCUCAGUUGCUUUGCCUUGUGCACAAAACUUUCCACUUAUGCUUUUUGUCUUUCCAGCCGAGGGAAGCGCCUGCCUUCCCCAGCCUCUCGCCUGCAGAAGCGUGCGGGAAACGUCUGCCCUCCUGUGUUCAAAGUCCCCUCCAAAGAGAAGCCGAGGGUGCACUGACCUCACGGGAUAAAUAUUUUCCAUGACAUCUCCUUCCCAACGUCUCCUUUCGGGCUCUGUACCUAUAGCUGACCCAGCUCCGGGUUUGCAGCCAGCCUGCCCGAGCUCGGCGGGUGCCGGGAACAGGGCUGGGUUCUGCCUUCUCCUUAUUCCCUACAUGGCCCCACGCAACGUCCCUGCCUGAAGGUUUCAGUGACCUCUCUGGAACCCCUUCCAGGGACUCCUCUGGCCAACGAGGCAGCUCGUGGGCCAGUGCUGCUCGCCGUAGACACUGAAGCCUGCUGGCUUGCUGUGACGGUUUCUCCAACACUCCCCCUCGCCCACUCGCAGCUAUAACACGGCUGUGGUUAUGGGCUGCUGCCAAGGCAGCUGGGAUGCUGGAGGCAGCAGCCUUAGAGCAGGCGCGAAGCAUCCGUGGGCCAGAGGUGGGAUGCAGGGAGGUUGUUUUGAAGUGGGAGCAACUUGUCACCAGGCAAAGCAGGGGGACACUUACUGACUCUGUAUCCUCGCCGCUCACCCAGUUGAGUGUUGGAUGUUCCAACAGGUAUUGUCCACCUCCAGCCUCUUACUGCUCUUGCUGCACAGCUUUCCCUUACAGGCUCCUUUUCCUAACAGCACUUUUCUCAAGGGGACCAUCACAUCUGGCGCUGAUCCCUGGUGCGUCUUGGCAGCUGGAUUUACAGCACAGGUACUGCAGAGCCCAGGGCUCUUCGUGGGUGAGGUCUCUUUUAUUUGCAGCCACCAAAAAGUCGGUGGCUUUCUGUUGGCUUGCUAAGAGGAGAUGCUGCGGUCAUUCUCCUGCCAGGGCUUUUCAAACCACGUGCCGAUUCCCAUGCCCAGUGUGGUGUCCUGAGGGGGACCAGGGAUUUCAUGCUGCUGUGCAUAGAACUGGAUCCCUUAGAAUUGGAUCCCUACCCCCCCUGUCUUGUGGAACAGGGAGAAAACACUAUAUCCUGCCAGAAAGAGUGCCAAGUGUGUGGCACACACCAGGAGGUGUCAAAAAAUGCUCAUGUCAGUCCCACAGGCAGCUCUGUGCCUUCUGUGCUGGCCGUGUAGGGAUUACCCAAGCAAUUUGCUGUGGGCAUUUCAGAGCCCCUUAUUUCUAGGGUAGGGUUUCAACUGCAAUAAAAGGGCCUCUGCAAGUGAGGCAAGAACAGCUACACCUGCCCUUCUGGUAGCUCCUCCCCAGUUUGUAUAAAAGAUACCAGUGUUUCCCAGUUCUUUGGCAUGGGAGAAGUGCCAUUCUUAUCUAUAGGGUUAUUAGUGCUGGAAAGAAAAUGAAUAUUAAACAUCUCUUACCCUG